rnacentral:lncRNA from 1 species
UCAAAUUUUUUUUUUUUUUGGUGGAAUCCUUAUGAAGUAAGCCUUAAUGAUUGUAGCCACCAAGUCAUGUUCGGAUUCCACGUGAUAAAUCUCUAAUAGAUCUAAUAAUAUACAUACAUAUAUAUAUAUAUAUAUAUAUAUUAUAUUAUUAUAUCUAUGUAUAAUUUCGAAUUAGAGAGAGAAAUGGAGAUUAAUCUGUCUACACAAGGCUUUACCUUCCAGACUUGUUUGAAGAAUCCGAUCCCAUGUAUACCAAACCCCCAAGACAAGCAGUUGUGUCAAGUUUAGUGUUGGAGGUCAG